rnacentral:lncRNA from 1 species
CUGUUGGACCAUGAGUAGAAUGUGAAAGGUCAAAAGUACUCGGUUGACACAUCUAUGAGAAUUAGCUUACGAUUUCAUUCUUUUUAGACCUCUGCUUCAGUUAAUACAUCAUAUGUAUGUUGUGUGUGUUCUCAUAUUAGAAUGCUUUGGAGAUUAUUCCAAUAGGUAGGAUAUUAAUAUAUUUGGGCUAGCUGUACAUACUCUCUGUUCAGAUGAUUAAAGAGUGUAUGAAAUGCUUCUUUUUUUUCUUUUCCUUUCUUAUGGGCGUGUAAUGUAUUCAAGACUGGUUCUUUUAAGUAAUGAUUUCCAUCACAUUUUGUUUCGGUCUAUAUUCUACUAUGUGUGCUUUCCUCUUUGUUUUAGUAAAAUCCCAUUUUACAGAAAAUUUGUUCUGACUAUAUCAUAGUGAUGCUAGACACACCAAUACCACUCUUCUCUUUGCCCUUAUAUGUCUUUCUAUAUGUUUAAUUUUGACCCAUUAAUCACAUAUACUCUAUUCUGAUUUUUUUUU